AGCUCCAAUAGCGUAUAUUAAAGUUGUUGCAGUUAAAAAGCUCGUAGUUGGAUUCCUAGCGAGAGCGACCGGUCAGGUCCGAAUGGGCUUGUACUUGGAGUUGUCUUUUGCUAUUUUUUGGGAGAAGCUGCUUGGCAUUAAAUUGUCGGGUUGGGGACCCCAAUCGUUUACUGUGAAAAAAUUAGAGUGUUUAAAGCAGGCAUUUGCUGUGAAUACAUUAGCAUGGAAUAAUAAGAUAGGACUUGGUGCUAUUUUGUUGGUUUGCACGCCAAGUAAUGAUUAACAGGGACAGUUGGGGGUAUUCGUAUUUAAUUGUCAGAGGUGAAAUUCUUGGAUUUAUGAAAGACGAACUACUGCGAAAGCAUUUACCAAGGAUGUUUUCAUUAAUCAAGAACGAAAG
rnacentral:rRNA from 1 species